ensembl:lncRNA
CAGUGGCAAAAGUUGGGGCUUUUUGCGUCUCUUUUUCCUUUUCUUUUGUUUUUGAAAUCAAAUGGUGGAAAAUAACAAGCAUGGUCUUCUGUUUUUCCCACGCAUGGACAGACAAUGCUUCCCUCAGAGAACAUCUGUGGGGGUGCAAAAAGCCAGCGUCACAGUUCACAGACACAAAAAGCUCUUUUGUGCUUAGCAGUGCAGCGAGGGCUGCACUUUGGCUCUGCAUGUCCCUACAAGUCAGAAGAAGAAUAAGUAGUAAAGUGGACCUCUCAACUCACCAGAGUCUAUGACUGUGAGGUCGAUGGACCGCCUGGACUCACUCUGAACUCUCUGACCGCUGCUGAGAUCACUGGUUAUAAUCCGACACUCAUAUGUUCCUGUAUCGUUGACGUUGACGUUCUUGAGAAUCACAGAAACGUCUCCGUUUUUCAUAGACGGGUGUUUCAGCUCCACUCGGCCUUUAAAACGCUCAUGCUGGUAGCUUUCAUAUGAGCGCCCGUUUCGGUAGAAGAAGACGUAUCCGUCUGACUUAAUCUCAGUUCUUUUUUUUCAGUAGACGAGCAUAUCAAGAGACAUCUGACAGGAACUAUUUGGAUCGAGGAAGUCUUAAAAAAACAUCAGUGGAUUAAUCAAAGUAAUGGAUUCCUGCAGCUCGACAUAUUUCCAAAACAAGGCCAGGGACCAAAGAGAAAUCUGCUUUUUUUUUUUUUUUUAAAAAAAUUUCCUCUUGAUCAUGCUCUUUCACACACAGUGACAAAUGUCCUUGAUAGAUGUAGGCCAGAGGCUGUUAUGGGCCUACUUUUCUGUUGCUUGAAGCGUCCUCCAUAAAUGCGCAUGCGUCACCUGCUCGUGUGAAUGCACAAGAAGAGAAAAGAAUAAAAGCAAACUCAUCCUCCUCAGUGGUUAUUAACCUACCCAUGUGUUCAUUUACAGAAAAGAGCCUGCAAAAGCUACUGACUUAGAUUACAGCACUCGAUGUUUGUUUGUGUCUGUCUGGGUUAUUUAAGAUCACCUCAAGGGAUCAAAAACUUUCUUGAAAUCUUGAAAUGCCUUGAGUAACAAGCUCUUCUCUAGGAAAACCAGACUUUCAUUAUACGGUACCAAGUGUUAUGGAUCAGACUUUGUGGCUAUUUUAAAAGAAUAUUUCCUUUGAAAAUAACACAUUAAUUUCCUCAUGCUGUUCUGAAUCGCUCAACUCUGUUGACUGUUACCACAUGUGUAGCUAAGAACCCACAAUGACACAGAUUUGUAAAUAAGAAUAAAAUAAAAUAGAAUAGACCUUUAUUCUCAUUGGACAUGCACAUUGAAAUUGUGGGUGUGCCAUGCCAACUGGGCAAGUAUAAAGUGUAAAUAGUGAGAGUGCAGGAUCAAAUAACAAACAUGGGGAGUGUGUACAAAGCAAGAGAAAGGUCACGGAUUAGCGAACAGGUUGUGAAGUUUCUUUUAUUUCACGUGGCACACUCAGUUCCUUUACAGGAAAAUGAGGAUUGGUAGAGCCUAAAUUAAGAGUUUCCUUUUCCUUGCUUCCUUCCAACUUAAUGGUUUCAUUUCUACCACUGCAGAAAACAAAAGUACAAUAGUGUGGACCUGACAGAUUACUUGCACAUAUGCUGAUGUUACAUUUGUAUGAACAAACUAUAAACCUAUGUCUGGGAGCUAUGACGCCAAAUGCAAUAACAUGUGAUAGAGUUGUAACACAUGAGGUCAUUUUCUGGGUUCAUGAAGAAAUGUCUGCAAUUACACCAGUAAACUUUUGAUAUGUUAUAAAAAAAUUCAUAGUGACAUCAUACCUAUAACAUAGUGCACGCAACAUACUGGGGAAAACAAAGGGGAGGAAAAAAUUCUGAUAACUGCAUAUUUCUUGUGUAGCUGAUGUAUCAGUAAUCACCAGACUGGUAAAUAUGUUGAAAAUCUGACAACUUAAAACUACUGUGUCGUGUUUAUGCACACUGACUGUGUGCAAGUACAACGCAAGAAGUAUGUCCUGAGAAAGGUUUAAUCCCUGAGAGGGAGACAAAAAACUCCCAAAAACAAACACAACAAGAUCAGCAAGAUGCGACUUGACUAAUUAUAGUAUCUUAUCAUAAGCAUCUACCGACAGAAGAAAAACAGAAGAAUGGAGCCAGCCCUUGUGACUUAGAGAAGAUGUGGCAAGUUUUUAAAUGAGAUUAACUCCACAUACUCAACUCUGCUGCUCUGUGUAGUUCAGCAGUUUUGUUAAUGUAAUUUUUCCUGUCUUUUCUUUUCUUUCAGUUCCAGUAAGAUAGCGGUGGGUGAACUCCAGACAAGAUUAAAGACCUGGCAAAUAACAAUUUCUGUCUCCAGCUCUGGAGAUUUCCUCCACCUGUAUACUCCCACGAGAGCACUGGGAUCAGUUGUUCUUGGUGGAACCUAGGUUAUGGCUAAAGACCAGAGGUCCUCUGGAACAAUCUCCUCCAAGCUAUUCGCACGUCCAGUCCUGCUGCAAACACGCUGCUAUUGAUGUUUACAUUUAAACAACUGUUAAAACAAACUUGCUCUAAAAAAUUGUGAGUCACAGCAUUUGUCAGACUGCCAGCAGUUUUUUUUUUAAAUUUUAUUUUUAGCUACUCACCUUCUAAUUCCACAGUCUCAAAAGUCAGAAGAAGAAGAAGAAGAAGGAUGUGAGACAUUUCUGUUGAAUAACUCACAACUGACCCUCCUGAAGCUGCUGGAAACUCGAUUUGUGUAAAUCUGGUGUCGUGCCAAAAGCAGUCUGAGGCAAGGGGCAGUCUGCUGCGUUCAGGGACACACCCACCUGAACAUCAGCCGUCACAGCGUGCUUUCAACCCUGAAGCUGCACUCAAUGUUUCUCUCUCCUGUUUUUGUUGUUUUUGUAGGAGAAAGCACAAAGUGAACACGGGAAAGUGCCUCGAGCCCACAUUCAUGACACCCUAAAAUGAUCCUUAUUUAGGUUUUGUAUUGUUUAAUUGUUUUUUUUUAAUUUAUUAUUCCACUGUAGAUGCUGUAGAAAUAAUAUCUGCUUUCCGUCUGUGUAUUUUUGUAAAUAUCUUGUGUAAUGACAAUGAACCUUAUUGAAUCUUCAGUGUGAAUCAGUAACCAGCAUCAACAUUUAGACAACAAAGUUAACUUAGCAUGGUUCAAACAGAGCUCAC